AUGGGGAAGGCCGGGGGCGAGGGAGGAGAGGCAGGGCCGCCGAUGUCAGUGCCACCAGCCGCACCUUGGCGUCCCCGGCGGCGGAGAGGCGGCCGCCGCUGCUGCUGCCGCUGCCGCUGCCGCUGCCGCUGGUGCUGCCGCUGCCGCUGCUGCUGCUGUUGCCGCUGCUUCUCCACACCGAGCGCCGCCGCUGGUGCCGCGGCUGCCGGAGACGUCCCGCCGCCGCGAUCGCCCGCGCUCGCCUCUGCCUCCCCGCGCCGCUCCUACACUCACACAGGCACAGUCGCGGAGCUCGGCAGACACAGUCCCGGGCACAGCCUACCCCCUCCGCCGCUGCCGCCGCCGCCGCCGCCGACACCGCGCCCGCCUCCGCCUCCUCCCCUUCCUCCUCCCGGCCCCCGCCUCUUGCGCGCCGGCAGCCUCCUCCUCCCCACUGAGCCCGCCCCCGACCUCCCGCCCCGACGUCGGAGUCCCGCACGUUCAUUGGCUAGAGUGCACAUCACUCAGUGCCAGGUGGCGGCCUCUCCGCUCGUCCCUCCUCCCGCUCCUCCUCGUUGUCCCCGCCCCUUGCUCUGUUUUCUCCCAGCUGCCGGACCAGCGGGCCUGCAGCCUCCACCGCCCAGUCCCUGCUCAGGUGUCACUUUUGCUGGCAGGCCGAGAUUAGGGAAAGAGAGUGGGCAAGGGGUCGCGGCCGGGAGGGGAAAGGCUCUACCACGCCACCCUCCUUUGGCCUCUGAACGCGGACCCCGCACACGCACACCCGCGCCUCUUUGGCAAGCGUGCCUUGUCGGCUGGGUUAAGCCGCAGUGCGUGCACACCGAGCGACGGGGCGCUGUGGAACGCCGGAGCGGGCUAGCGGAGGAGCAUGCGGAUCAAGCCCCAGCGACCCAGGGCAACUAGGAGUUACCUGGGACAGCCCUGCGGAUCUCCAAGAACCGAGGAGACGGGAGAAACACGGGAAAGGGUGGCCUUUUCCCUGUUCACACACACACACACACACGCAGCCAGUGGCCGGGACAGUUGACACCCAUCUUCCUUCCCUGCUCCUUCGAGUCAUUCUACACCCGCUUGGUGCUGCCAGUGCGGGCAGGGCCUUGGAGUCCAAAGCGGAUCCCCACACUUGUCCCUCCGGUUGAAAAGAAACUAGAGAAGAGAAAGUCAGGCUUGGCAGAGCUAAGAGUGAUAGUGGCCCAAAUGUUCCUUCCUGGCCCGCCUGCUGUGCCACAGAGUCUGAAAAGCGGGUCUCCCUCUACCAGAAGGUCACCUCCACACAGCCCCUCUGCGCGACCAACCGCAGCACCCAAGGACUGGCAACGUGGUUGGAGGUUUUGGGGGGAAUUAUGAAGAAAUCUGAAUAAAUUUCUCACCCUUCGUCUUUCCUGUUUUAUUUCCAAAGUCCUUCAGUAUCAGGUUUUUCCUAUUUCCUCAAUUGACCACGGGUCCAAUAAAAGAUUUGAUACCACACACACACAUGAAAACGAAAAAAGUUUAGGGAGCUGGGAGAUGAAGCCAGAAGUGUUUUGGAGACAAGGAUUAGAUUAAAGCUCAAACUUGAAAAUUUUGAGUAAGAGACUGAUUCUACUGCAGCAUGGCUUUGAUGUGGACUGCACUGUAUAGAAACACACACUAGAUACCUCUGUGGAGGCCUAGCAAAAAGAGCAGACGCAGGGUGUAUCCCACCAGGAUAGGGAGCCUGCCACUGGCACUGAGAUUCUCUGCCCAAUUUCCAACCCCAGGAUACUGGGUGGCAAUUAGACAAUUCAUUCAAUAAAUAUAUUUUCUGUACUCCUUUUAUUUAUAUGCCAGACACUGUGGUGGGUAAUUAGGUGGGGAGGGAGUGUAUUCGAAAAUUGUUCUUGCCCUCAAUAAAGCCUAGAAUUUUCAGAGAACAUAAAAUUAUGAGCUCUGAGAGGUCACUGUAAUCUCCUCAGGAAGAGGUUGUUUAAAACAGCCUCCUGAGCACAGGCAGAGCUAGUUGCUAAGGCAGAUUUGGGAAGCUGGUCCCUGGCCAGAUGGCACACAGUGAGGGAGCGAUGCCAAGACCUGUGGGUGAAGAGGGCCUGCUUCAGAAAGACCAGGAAACCAUGUCCAGGGAUGCUCAUUUCCAAGGCCAAGACAUUCUCUCCUACAUAUUAGAAAAAAAUGAAGUUCCCACCGUUAUUUGGACUAAGUUUUUACUGAGUAUAGGAUAAACAUCUUUGAACCAAGAUCAGAAGGCUUAAAAUGUCAGCACCAUAUAAAACUACACGAUACAGAUAGGAAAUAAAGGCACACCUUUCAGGCACACCCUUUAGUCCGCUACAAGUCUAGGACACCUCCUAGCUAAGGUAUGUAUGGGGAAAAAAAAGUUAUGACUCAUAAUCACUUCCCAACACAUUAUCAACAGGAACUUUUAAUGCCUGUGUAUGAUUCCAUAACUGCUGCAACACUGACACCUCUUAAACAAAAUUGGAUCCUGCUCUAAGGGAAACAGGACAGCCAGCAUAUUAACUAGCAACAACUUGUGUUCAUACACUUGGCCUCCUGAAGUAGACAGCCAGAUCAUCUUUUUAAUUCAGAUAGUGUUUCAGAUGUCCUACCCUCUCCUACUGCCAUUCUUUUUCUGUCCUGUCGAGAGGUCCCCAACCUUUCUGGCAACAGGGACUGGUUUCGUGGAAGACAAUUUUUCCAUGGAUGGUAGUGGGGGGUGGUUUCAGGAUAAAACUGUUCCACCUCAGAUAAUCAGGCAUUAAAUUCUCAUAAGCAGCGUGCAGCCUAGAUCCCUUGCAUGCACGGUUCACAGUAAGGUUUGCACUCCUAUGAGAAUCUAAUGCCACUGCUGAUCUGACAGGAGGUAGAGCUCAGGAAGUAAUGUUUGCUCACUCUGCUGCAGAUCUCCUGCUGUACAGUCCAGUUCCUAAUAGGCCACAGACUGGUACUGUUCUGUGGCCUAGGAGUUGGGAACCCCCAUAUUAGACUGCCCUAGCAGUCCAUAAUUAUAUUACCGCUUGCAUGAGAAUACCUUAUAUUUGGAAUUUACAUUUUGAAGAGAUUACUUCAGUUCCCAGAUGCUGACUUUGACAAUGUCCUGCUUAUCAAGAAAUCGUAGCGGGCAAAAACUUGAAAAAAGACAACUUUUUGUCUACCAAAAAAAUGUGUUUUCCCUUCCUUAGUAUAAUUCACUCUGGGAAGUGUCUGCCCAGUGAGGGAUCCCAUUUCUAGCCUGACCAAGUAGGUCCAUGUGACUAGUUCUGAUCAACAGACUGUGGGCUGAGGUGGUUGGUCCCUCUCAGGCCAAGGCAGUUAAGCAGCGGUUAUACAUUUUCUAGUCUAUGGACUCCCAUCCUUAGCUGAAUUCAGAGACUUCUAAGACCCAGGGCAGGCAGAACCCCAGAGACAAAGAGGAGAAUCCCUUAAUUACAACACAGAGGAAUGCUGCCCACUUACUAAGAAAAUAUGCAUUAGGCUUUACCCAUUUAUUUUGUUACUCCAAUAAAAUGUGGAGAUAUGUUUGUUAGAAUAGCUAAUAUUACCAAAUUAAUUUGCAAAAGUAAUAUAUUAGUUCAAAAAGUACAAUCCUUAGCAAAACCUAGAAUUACUGUUUUACUGUAAUACAAGAGAACUACCAGAAGACUAAAAAUACUCUUACUUCUUUUAAUACAUGAGCAUCAAAUCUUAAUUAUCUGUAAAUGAAUAUUCUUUGACCACUUGUGUUUUGAACACCUAUUCU
rnacentral:lncRNA from 1 species